CGCUGUUGUCAGCCUGCUGUGGCAGAGACAUUUCAUUAGGUCUCAUUAUUCUUUCAAAAUACUUUUUUUCCACCGCCUUCCUUUACCUAAAACGCUCCUUACUCUCUUGUGCACCACGAAAAACAGCGUGCGGUAAUCGCUGCACACCUCAUCGCGCUCGUUCGGUUCCCAGCUUUAAUCAGGAUUAGGUCUCAGUUUCGCCUUCAGGUUUCAAACUGCUCCCUUUGCAGCCUGCCUCCAAAACCCCUCUCUGAUCCCUGAAAAGCAAAGGAGAAAACUCGAUCCGGAGAAAACCAUGAGCACCGCAUCUUCCCGGCCCUUUCCUCACCUAGACAAAAUCACGACGGGAACGACACACGAGGGGCAGAAAACCCGCAGAAACCCGCCGAGCAAUCUGGGCUCCAGAGGGUGGUUUCAGAUGAAAA
rnacentral:lncRNA from 1 species